rnacentral:misc_RNA from 1 species
GCUGGAAGCUAACAAGACUUCUUCAUCAGAAAGGUUUGCACGAGGAGCGCUGCAACUAUCAGAUAAGGAAGAAGAAUCUGGCAAGUCAGGUGACCAAGAAUGAUUGGCAAAAGAUAGUGGGUCAGAAUAGCGAGAGAAGACAUCCAUUUCUUAAAAAAUUAUAAGGUUGAUAAGGAUUGGUUUAAGCGAGUAGUGAGCGUGGGAGUAUU